UUCAUUCAUUUUCGUUUUCAUACAGAUCUAUAGCAAUAGUCCUUGAGUUCUUUCAUUUUCAUGGCAGAAAACCUCGUUCACGGAUGCUAGCAAUGGUGUCAAAGAGAGUUUGUUCAUAAGGUAUGAAUCCUCCAAUUAGCUCUGUAGUUUUCUUGUUUCCAAUCUUCUCGGGGGGGAUUCCAUCGUAUCUUCCGGCAUGAGGAAUUCCAACGCUCGUUUCAGGAACACCCCUACCCAUACAAAUCUCAUUACGCUUUGAACAAAACUGAACAAAAAGGAAUGAAAGUAAACUCACUCAUGGGCACAGCAGCGAAGCUGGGGGAACUUUUCCUUGACCGAUUUCAGGACGUCUCUGUGGGAAAUGCUCAGUGCAACGCAAAAGUAGCGCCCCAAAGCAGCCUCGUUAUCGACUGCCAAAAUGUGAGCUUUUGCAACAUCUCUCACGUCCACGAGAGGAAUGUAAGAAGUUGGCGAAAGAUUCCGGGAACCUGGAUCAUCACAAACGAGAUAAAUGUUUGUACGAGAAAACCAACGAAACCACAGUCAGACCUUCUACAACUUCCUUGAGAUAUUCACUGCUAGUGUUGAGGGUUUGUUGCAAGAGAGGACCAAACACGUAAACAGGGCACACCACAAGAAGUUUGAGCCCUUUCUCUUCGGCAAACUUCCAUGCCGUCUUCUCCGACUCCGUCUUGGCAACCAAGUACCACCGCUGCAAACCGAAGUACGAGUCAAGAGUCGAAUUAAGUCAAAAGCAAGUCCCAUUUACUUGCCUCGAUUUUGCGGCAGUGGUCCAGCAACUCUCAUCAACCACCUUGUCCUCGGGACGAUCCGGGUCAACCAUGACUGCUGCGCCGGAGGAGGUCAUCACCACUCGCUUGAUCUUCUCCUCGCUGCAAGCACGCAUCACAUUCUCCGUUCCAGUGAUUGCUGGGACCAACACAUCCUGGCAGAAAAAAAAACUCAGAAAAUUUCUCAUUGCCCACGAGCAAAACCAGCUAGAUUCUUACAUCUGGGGUGUCAAACUUCCAGAAGAAGGGGCAGGCUGUGUGGAAGACGGCCUCACAGCCCCGGACUGCCGGGACAAUGGAAUCGUAGUCGAGAACAUCGGCUUUGAACAGCUUGAGCCUCUCCCCAGCUCCUGGGAGCUGCUUGAGAUGUCCACACUUCGCAUUGUUACCUGAUGAUUGGGUCAUUCAGAUUUCGGCUAUGGAUAAGGGAGAAGUCUAUGCUUACUUGGGUCACGCACGGUGCCGUGAACAGUAUAGCCUUUCUCCAGAAGCUGCUUUACAAUCCAAGAGGCAAUGAAACCCCCAGCUCCAAUCACACACACGACCUUCUUGCUUGCUUUCAUUGCCAUGCUCUUUGCUCUAUUUUGCUACUUAUUAGUUUAUUUUGCACAACACAAGGUUUCUUGCACUUUUCACUAUACCCACUUCUUGUGAUUGAUGCUGGUGAUUCUCAUGUUUAAGGACAAGAGUGAGAAUAUAGUUAUGGCUAUGAUAUUUGUUAUUAAGCAUGUGAUAAAGUUGGCCAUAUGUAUCAACAUUGUUAACAUUUUUCAGAUUAGUGUCUUCCAUUUCGUAAGUGAAAGCUUUAGCAUUAACAAAAUUUUGUUGGUGUUAUUAUAAUUGAAGGUUUUGACAUAGAAAUUCUUUAGGGAAAUGAAGAGUCACACAAGUAAUGAAGAGUCUUUAUGUGAAUAAGUAACCCUUUCAUCCUUCUUUUGAGAGUAUUAUUAAGGAAUUCAUCAAGUAUUUAGUUUCCAAAUUUGUUUUUAUAAUAAAAGGUAUUUUAUUAUUCUCUUGAUAAAGGUUUGAAUUUAUCUUUUAUUGUUCAGCUUAUUGCCAUAUAUUGAUGUCUAUAGUUGUGUCAUGUAAUAGAACCAAUUUUCAUUUUUUAUGGCAACAAUUAUAUAUAUACAUGUGUAUGGGAUGAGAUAAACCUAGCUAUACAUGUGGCAAAUUUUGAGCUUGAACUUUAAUUAUUGCAGGUGGUGUUGAGUCAAGUUUUUGAUUUUAUUAUUGAUAUAGUGUCGCAAAUGUGACUUUGAGUAUCGAAAGUUAUAUGUCGGCCAGUCCUUACGGACAUUCUUUACUUACUGUCACAACGGCAGGAAGUCAGUAUUGCUGGACCUAUUAUUAGUCUCCACCUAAGUUAGUUGAGAAACUGAUCAUCACAUAUGCACUUAGACUAAAAGGGUACUAAAGAAGGAAAUCCUACGUUGUCAAUUAGUCAAGCAUACUUGGCAUGGUGAUGAGAAACUCAUAUUGUUGACUUGCACUUGCUAGUGUUGGGAACCCCGUAAUAUUGAGUUUGGUCUCUUAAUAUCACUAAAUGAUAGCUUACUGUGUCUGCAAAACACCCUCGCUAUCAUGCUCUUUGUGUUAGUUUCAAUUCGAUCCCAAAUGUUAAUUAUAAAAAGUGUCUAGAUUUGCUCAUUUGGCAUAUCUACGGAAUGUAGAAAUUGGCUUGAACACAAUGGUGUUUGUUCCGUGUCCAAAUUCACAAUUUAGCGCCAUUUCAUAUUUAGUAAGUUUUAAGCUUGUCCCAGAGACUAACUCCUGAUGCUAAAGGAGGCUUGGGGUGAAAGCCUAAAGCAUGUGUUUCUGAAAGGGGGGGGGGGGGGGGGUUCCAAAUGUAUAGUAGGGAUAGUGGGUAGGUUGGGCAUGGCUGACCAACCUGAGGCAUAGUUUAGCUCUCGCUUGUAUGCUUGUCCUUGUUCUGCAUCUGGCUUGGGUCUAAGCCCAAGUUCCAUUCCAUGUUAGCUGGUGAAGUACUUAUAUCUUUACAUUAGGCCACCGGUAUGCUGAAAUAGCACUAGACCCUAUUUGGCUCCGUUUUGCAUGUUGGUCUUGGCAUUGGGAUGUUAAUUGCUUUAGGACUGUUCCAAGUCACUCCGGGCUCCUGUCCCUUCGCUCCUUGGGUUAUAUGCUUAAGAAUUGCUCCAUGGUCCAGUUCCGACACUCCUUGGCUCUAUGCUUGGGAGUUUGGCACCAUUCCUUUGUUUAGUGGCCCAAGGCCCUGAACCUUAGGUUCCACACCACAAUCCUAUGGACAUGUGGUAUAUAACAUGUGGCAUAUAGAGGGUUUAGGUUCCACUUCGUGGUGUUAUUCUAUGGUAAAUUACCAUAGGAUAAAGGGUAAAAACCACGUGCGCUACAUAUAGAUUGAUUAUAACAUAAUUAUGAUAAGUGUGACUUUGAGGCUUCUUCCCUUUAUUUUAUAUUUCCUCACAUUUCUUCCAUUCUUCUCACUUUUGUUCUCUUUUGUCUCUUUGCUUCUAUCAUUUUUGCUUCUUUAUUAUUUUCUAUUGUAUUUCAAUUUUGCUUUUAUAUUUCCUUUAUAGAUCCUUCUGAUGUUGCAAUAAUGGACCAACUCAAGAAUGAGUAUGUUGAUCUUUUUUAUUUUGACUUGUUGUUUGGGGCUUGCAACACAUCAUCUUGCUCAUCCAAUUAAAAUUAUUAUUUAGCAUCAGUCAUUAAAGGAAAUCAAGAUUUUACACAUAAAUAUCAAAAAGAUGUUAAAAAUAGGUGUUAUCCAAAAUUUUUAAAGUCCUUAAACAUAUGAAUGUCAUCUUAUGAUGGGAGUGUUCACUUUUGUAUUGACUAAAUUCAAUGCUAACUCUAUGGUUAAACUCAUAAAUUAUAAGGCUUUUUUCUUCAUCCCAUAUCAAAGUUAGAGGUUGAAAUUACUAGAGCAAGAACUUUGGGUUCUAUAUAUAUAUGAUGUAAUAUAUAUCACCAACAUAUAAUAAUCAAAUAACAAUAAUACAAUAAUAAAUCAUUGGUUUACCAUUGAGAUAAAAAAAAUUGUAGUUAUAUAUGUCAAUGUCAAAAUACAAUAUGGUAGUAGAAAAAAUAAAGAAUUGUCAGAAUUGUGCUUUUAAAGAACUCCCCUACACAUCAAAAUUUCGUAAAUGCUUUUAAAAAAACCAAUGAAAUGCAAAACUCACUCUUGGGCACAGCUGCGAAGCCCGGGGAGCUUUUCCUUGACCGAUUUCAGGACGUCUCUGUGGGAACCCUAAAGCAGUCUCGUUCUCAACUACCAAUAUGUGAACUUUUGCAACAUCUUUCACGUCCACGAAAGGAAUGUAAGCACUUAGCAAAGGAUUCCGGGAACCUGGAUCACCACAAACAAAACAUUGUGUUUGUAUGAGAAAACCAAAGAAACUAACCUUCCACAACUUGAGAUAUUCGUUGCUAGUGUUCAUGGUCUGUUGCAAGAGAGGGCCCAAGACAUCACAUGGGCACACCACGACAGGUUUGAGACCAUGCUAUUUUCUCAGACUCCAGUGCCACCGCUGCAAAACAAUGUCAACUCAAAAGACUCAAACUAAAGUCGAAAUCCAUUGCCUUGCCCUCGGUAGUAGUCAAUGCUAGCUCUCGUCAACCAUCUUGUCCACCGGACGAUCCGAGUCACACAUGACCGCGGUGCCGGAGGAGGUCAUCACCACUCGCUUGAUCUUGCAGUGAGGAUCCUCACUGCAACCACGCAUCACAUCCUCCGUUCCAGUGAUUCCUGGGACCAACACAUCCUGGCAGAAAAGAAAACCCAGAUAAUUUCUCAUGAGAUAAAACCAGCAAGAUUCUCACAUCUGCAGUGUCAAAAUUCCAGAAGAAGGGGCAGGCUGCGUGAAAGACGGCAUCACUGCCCCGGACUGCCAGGUUGUAGUCGAGAACAUCGGCUUUCAACAGCUUGAGCCUCUCGCCAGCUCCUGGGAGCUGCUUGAGAUGUCCACACUUGGCAUUGUUACCUGACGAUACACAUGCAUGAGUCAUUCAGGUGGAGGUGGUGGAUCCAAUACUACUUACUUGGAUUGCACACGGUGCCGUGAAUCGUGUAGCUUCUCGAGAAGAUGCUAUACAAUCCCAGAGGCAAUGAAACCCCCGGCUCCAGUCACACACAUGAUUCUUGCUUGCUUCCAUUGCCAUGCUCUUUGCUUUAAUUUGCUACUUAUUUGCUCUAGCUUGCGCUGCUGUGUAUUUAUACACUCUAUCAAGUCUUCAAGAAUUUCCACUUGCCUUCUGAGCAAGCAUCCUGGAGCACUGUGGCGUCGCAACUGGAGCACUGUGGCACCGGUCUCGUUCAAUUUAUUUAUUGGUAGAAUUUAAUGUUUUAUAGAUAGAUGGGGAGCCGGUCUCUAAGAUUGCUAUUUAACUUAUUUAUUGUGGCUGAAUCAGAUGUGUGCAUCAUGUUGGGCAGUGGUGGUGGAGUUUUUGCAAAGCAGCAAUAUGCUCUUGCACCUUUUACUUCUACAAUACUAAUUUUAGGUGAGAAUGCAGUGUUUAUGAAAUGCAAAAUGCGCUUUGAAGUUGCUGGUGGUACACGGAGGCGACAGUAGCAGCAAGAGAGGGUUCAAUUUUCAAUCUUCUCUUGCAUUUUUCCUCCAAAGACUAUCAAGCUCGGAACACGUCGCACUCCACUAGGGCAUCCAACUCGCCAUCGCCAUCCCUCUUAGAACCCUGGACAAUUCCAUAACAACAGCAAAAUAUAAGAGCUGCGUUCUCUUUUGAGUAAGCAAGAACUUAACAGAAAGCAGGUUAAGUGCGUAAAGUGGAGUUGAGAGUCAUUAUAAUUUGCAAAGCAAUACGCACAUUCAUUCGUUUUCGUGUUCAUACAGAUCUAUAGCAAUAGUUCCUGAGUUCUUUCAUUUUCAUGGCAGAAAACCUCGUUCACGGAUGCUAGCAAUGGUGUCAAAGAGAGUUUGUUCAUAAGGUAUGAAUCCUCCAAUUAGCUCUGUAGUUUUCUUGUUCCCAAUCUUCUCGGGGGGGAUUCCAUCGUAUCUUCCGGCAUGAGGAAUUCCAACGCUCGUUUCAGGAACACCCCUACCCAUACAAAUCUCAUUACGCUUUGAACAAAACUGAACAAAAAGGAAUGAAAGUAAACUCACUCGUGGGCACAGCAGCGAAGCUGGGGGAACUUUUCCUUGACCGAUUUCAGGACGUCUCUGUGGGAAACGCUCAGUGCAACGCAAAAGUAGCGCCCCAAAGCAGCCUCGUUCUCGACUGCCAAAAUGUGAGCUUUUGCAACAUCUCUCACGUCCAUGAGAGAAAUGUAAGAAUUUGGCGAAGGAUUCCGGGAACCUGGAUUAUCACAAACAAGAUAAAUGUCUGUACGAGAAAACCAAGGAAACAACAGUCAAACCUUCUACAACUUCCUUGAGAUAUUCGCUGCUAGUGUU
rnacentral:lncRNA from 1 species